UUUCAUGUCAUUGUAAACCAUUACAUGUGAGUCCAUACAAGAAAAUACAAAAUUUGGCAUUUUUGACCAACUGUUGACUUUGGUCAACAGUUGACUUUUUGGUCAACUUUGACCAAAGUCAACCCAAAUCCAUUAAACCCUAAAUUCACCCAUAAUUGUCCAUUGAAUAUCCAUUUACAAAGAAAUCAUAAAGAAAACACAUUUUGACCAUUUGUUGACUUUGGUCAACAAUUGACUUUUGGUCAACUUUGACCAAAGUCAACUUUCACUUGCUUUUGCCCAUCCAACUUGGCCCGACCUUUUUCUUUAAUACAUCACCCAAUCUUCAUUUGUUGUUGUUGAUUUUUCUUGUUUUCUUCCAUUGCUAGCAAGUCCCAUUGUGCAAACCAGGAUGUCUUGACCAUGAACCAAUAACCAUGUUCCUUGGUUCUGCCCUAACCAUUGGCCAAGGAGU
rnacentral:lncRNA from 1 species